UAGGGAAUCUUCCGCAAUGGACGCAAGUCUGACGGAGCAACGCCGCGUGAGUGAAGAAGGAUUUCGGUUCGUAAAACUCUGUUGUUAGAGAAGAACAGCGCAUAGAGUAACUGUUAUGCGUGUGACGGUAUCUAACCAGAAAGCCACGGCUAACUACGUGCCAGCAGCCGCGGUAAUACGUAGGUGGCAAGCGUUGUCCGGAUUUAUUGGGCGUAAAGCGAGCGCAGGCGGUCAAUUAAGUCUGAUGUGAAAGCCCCCGGCUCAACCGGGGAGGGUCAUUGGAAACUGGUUGACUUGAGUGCAGAAGAGGAGAGUGGAAUUCCAUGUGUAGCGGUGAAAUGCGUAGAUAUAUGGAGGAACACCAGUGGCGAAGGCGGCUCUCUGGUCUGUAACUGACGCGGAGGCUCGAAAGCGUGGGGAGCGAACAGG
rnacentral:rRNA from 1 species